rnacentral:rRNA from 1 species
GAUGAACGCUAGCGGCAGGCUUAACACAUGCAAAGUCGAGGGGUAUAGGUUUUCGGACCUAGAGACCGGCGCACGGGUGCGUAACGCGUAUGCAAUCUACCUUUCACAGAGGGAUAGCCCAGAGAAAUUUGGAUUAAUACCUCAUAGUAUUAUAGAAUGGCAUCAUUUUAUAAUUAAAGUCACAACGGUGAAAGAUGAGCAUGCGUCCCAUUAGCUAGUUGGUAUGGUAACGGCAUACCAAGGCAACGAUGGGUAGGGGUCCUGAGAGGGAGAUCCCCCACACUGGUACUGAGGCACGGACCAGACUCCUACGGGAGGCAGCAGUGAGGAAUAUUGGUCAAUGGGCGCAAGCCUGAACCAGCCAUGCCGCGUGCAGGAUGACGGUCCUAUGGAUUGUAAACUGCUUUUGCACAGGAAGAAACAACGCUACGUGUAGCGUCUUGACGGUACUGUGAGAAUAAGGAUCGGCUAACUCCGUGCCAGCA